rnacentral:rRNA from 1 species
GUAGGUGGCAAGCGUUGUCCGGUAUUAUUGGGCGUAAAGCGCGCGCAGGUGGUUCUUUAAGUCUGAUGUGAAAGCCCCCGGGCUCAACCGGGGAGGGUCAUUGGAAACUGGGGAACUUGAGUGCAGGAGAGGAAAGUGGAAUUCCACGUGUAGCGGUGAAAUGCGUAGAUAUGUGGAGGAACACCAGUGGCGAAGGCGACUUUCUGGCCUGUAACUGACACUGAGGCGCGAAAGCGUGGGGAGCAAACAGGAUUAGAUACCCUGGUAGUCCACGCCGUAAACGAUGAGUGCUAAGUGUUGGGGGGUUUCCGCCCCUCAGUGCUGCAGCUAACGCAUUAAGCACUCCGCCUGGGGAGUACGGUCGCAAAGACUG